UGAAUGUCAACAUUAAAGAUGAAGAAGAGGAGGAGAAGAUUGGGACAUCUGUUUCUCAUGGAGACCAUGUUGAGACAUUCUCUACAUCCAGAGAGCAACAGCAGGAAGAUCACAGAGCUAAGAGGUCUCACCACUGCCCACAUUGUGAGGAGAUUUUCCCAAUUCUAUCAAAGCUAAAAAUACAUCUAAAAAUGCACACAGAAGAAAAUCUGUAUUCCUGCACUGACUGUGGGAAGAGUUUCACAACAUCAAGGGCUCUGACGGUUCAUCGGAGAGUACACACAGGAGAGAAGCCUUACAACUGCUCUGACUGUGGGGAGAGUUUCUCUCAACAGAGCAAUUUAAAAAAACACCAACGUAUACAUACAGGAGAGAAGCCUUACUCUUGCUCGGCCUGUGGGAGGAGUUUCUCUCAACAGAGCAACUUCAAAAACACCAACGGAUACACACAGGAGAGAGGCCUUACUCCUGCUCUGACUGUGGAAAAGGCUUCACAACAUCAACUGAGCUAACAGUUCAUCAGAGAACACACACAGGAGAGAAGCCUUACUUCUGCUCUGACUGUGGAAAGAGUUUCUCCCGAUUGGAUACCUUAAAAGUACAUGAACGUGUACAUACAGGAGAGAAACCAUACUCUUGCUCUGACUGUGGAAAAUGCUUCACAACAUCAUCUGAGCUAACAGUUCAUCAGAGAACACACACAGGAGAGAAGCCUUACUUCUGCUCUGACUGUGGAAAAAGUUUCUCCCAAUUGGAGAAGUUAAAAUGUCACCAGCGAAUACAUACAGACCAAAAGUCUUACUUCUGCUCUGAUUGUGGGAAGAGUUUCACCCGAUUGGAUACCUUAAAAUGUCACCAGCGUAUACAUACAGGAGAGAAGCCUUACUUCUGCUCUGAUUGUGGGAAGAGUUUCACCCGAUUGGAUACCUUGAAAUGUCACCAACGUAUACAUACAGGAGAGAAGCCUCAUCAGUUCUCUCAGACCAGCUAAGAGUAAAGUCAUUACAUCACUUCAUUCUCAUCUCAUAAAUGAAGUGGUAACAGUGAAUUUGAUAACAUUUAAGAAAGAAUAAAACACUAUUGGGAUCCUAUUGUUUCUCACUGUAAGAGAACUGUGCAGAGGAAAGGGCGUGUUAUAGAAUGUUAGCUUCUUGUUAUUUUACUGAUCAGUGAGCACCAUGUCAGUUUUUUAGUUAUUUAUUUAAUUUAGCUUUUACUCUAAAGAUAUUGAGAGUACCUUGAAUUUGCCCCUAGGGUUGAAUGCCCUCUGAGGCUUCUCACAUUGUAACCAUGUAGUCUGAUGGCUGACUGGGUAGUACUGCUUCCCUCUGCAGUUCUCUGUGGUAAUGAGCUGGUAGACACAACAUGUAUCCGAUAGAGAUGGUGUGAUCAGUCUUCACCAUUAGUUUGGGUGGAUUAUUAUUUUUUACUACGAAGUAACUUUUGUUUAAUGAUUCACAUACUUUGAAAUGACUACAUGUUUAUUAAAUUGUCUUACUAGAUGUAUUAUUUGUCAUCAAAUGUAUUUGGUUAACUGCAUUGAACUUGAUAUGCUAAUUAAAAAUACAUAUUCUACAUUAAUUUGUGCUGGUGAAACUUUGGGUUAUAUAUACAGACAAUGCAAUGUUUUUAAUUGAUAUUAUUCAAACUAAUUUAAAUGUCUAUGUAUCCACUCAAUACAUGUCACUACACUUCUACAUGUCUAUUAACCCCCAGUAUGUUCUACAAUACAUACUAAUAAUGUUAUACAGUUUAAAGGACAUUUUUCAUAUUUAAAUAAAUGUUAUUUUGUAAUGU